GUAUUUUUUAUUGUUUUUUAUUCUAAACAUACAACACAAAUAGAAUACGUUGUUGCUGUCGCAAAGUUGUCCUACUUGAAGCAGUCAUGUUAGCUGAGUCUGAGGGUCCAAAGCCAAUUGGGUCAGAAGCACUGUGGAAGUCCUCCAUUAUUGUGAACAAUACCAAACAUCCAGUAACUCACCACCAGCACAAGCGGCGUGCGCCCAUUCAAAGAAGCUGCUUCCUGGGCCUUGAAACGAAGCCCGAGCUGCUAUGGGAGGACUGGGAUGAAGGCGGAGAAUUCACC